rnacentral:rRNA from 1 species
UGGGGAAUUUUGCACAAUGGGGGCAACCCUGAUGCAGCGACGCCGCGUGAUUUAGAAGGCCUUCGGGUUGUAAAAAUCUUUUGUAUGGGAAGAAAAUGACAGUACCAUACGAAUAAGGACCGGCUAAUUACGUGCCAGCAGCCGCGGUAAUACGUAAGGUCCGAGCGUUGUCCGGAAUCAUUGGGCGUAAAGGGUACGUAGGCGGAUAAGCAAGUUAGAAGUGAAAUCCUAUAGCUCAACUAUAGUAAGCUUUUAAAACUGCUCAUCUUGAGGUAUGGAAGGGAAAGUGGAAUUCCUAGUGUAGCGGUGAAAUGCGCAGAUAUUAGGGGGAAUACCGGUGGCGAAGGCGACUUUCUGGCCAUAAACUGACGCUGAGGUACGAAAGCGUGGGUAGCAAACAGA